rnacentral:lncRNA from 1 species
ACACAAGUCCUGUAUUUCCUUCUAUGCAAUUAAUAUUUUCUAAAAUGCAUUGCUUUAAGACAAGAAAAAUAUUUGCUGUUUUAUCAAGAGGCCUAGAGGUGGCAAACAAUGUCUGGAUCCGUACACCACCGCUGGAGGAAUGCAGAGGCGGGCGGGGGCGCGACAGGCUGCUAGGCACUGUGCCCACUGUCUGUCCUGUAGCUUCCUACCAGCCCGAAACACUGAGGUUUCCAGAGGCAGCGAGGCAAAAGGGCCAGACAUUUUUCUGGUUAACACUCCAUGUAUUCAGUUUCCAAAGGCCAGGGCAGUGAGGCCGACCUUGGCCAGGCCGUGGGUGGGUUGCUUGACUAGGCCAGAGAGUAAAUCAGUAGAAUUCCCACAGGCCCCAUCGGUGCGUGUGAGGCCAAAGUCCACCAGCCCCACGGCUUUUCCGUGCUAGGAGGGAGGAAAGCAGACGACGGCACAGGGAGGCUGGGAGGCAGGAAAGCAGACGAUGGCACAGGGAGGCUGGGAGGGAGGAGAGCAGACGACGGCACAGGGAGGCUGGGAGGGAGGAAAGCAGACGACGGCACAGGGAGGUGCCCUACUCGUGGUUCAUGUCAUCACUUUCUCUUUCUGACAUUUCCCUGGGCUGCUUUAAGUGGAUGGCAAGGGCCACCUUCUAGAUUUAGAAAGAAACUGAACGUCCAGAGUGUGAACUGGCCUGCUCCUAUCUCCCCUCGGCGGCAGUGGUGGUUGCCAGCCUGGCUUGCGUUUGCCCAAAAGUAAUAGUAAAGAGCUCUGACCACUGCUGUUCACCCUAAACUUGGGGCUGCUGUACUUCUAGGCUUUGGAAAGAGUGGAGGGGUUUCCACAUAUUAAAAAGGAAAAGGGCACCAGGUCUGUGCUCUGUGACCCCAUCACGCAACGGAAUGACACACAGCUAUGAAGAAUGAGGCUGCUCCACAUAUGCUGGGACUGAGAAAGGUUUUUGUGUUUUGUUUCGUUUCUGAGACCAAGUUUCACUCUUUGUUGCCCCGGUGGGAGUGCAAUGGCGCGAUCUUAGCUCACUGCAACCCUUGCCUCCUGGGUUCAAGCGAUUCUCCUGCCUCAGCCUCCUGAGUAGCUGGGAUUACAGGUGCCCACCACCAUGCCUGGCUCUUUUUUUUU